rnacentral:lncRNA from 1 species
GUGGCAUUUGUAAAUGAGAGUCGGGGUAGUGGGCUUUCCAAGUCCCUUUGGCUCUUUAUCUGUGAUUCUAUAAUUGCAGGCAAGAUUUGCAAAGCGCUUUAGGACCUACAAAGUGUUUUUCAUACAACAAUGGGGACACGGCGUGGCAUAAUAGAAAUAACGCUGUAUUUGGAAUGAGAAGGCCUGGGUUUUAAUCCUGGCUCGGCCACCGAUACUGGCUAAAUUUCCUUCAACUGUAAGAAUGAGGUACUUGGACUAAAUAACCUCUAAACCCCAAUGGUCUACCUAUUCAAAAGCAUUCUAGCAUUUACACCGUGAAAUUCUAUAAUUCCGGAGGAUACCGGGAGGGGGAAGGGGAGCGCCAACCAUUGGGUGAAUGGGAGGAGCCAGGUCCACGUUUCGGGCAGCGGAUUGGCUGGGCCGUUCGUGGGCAGCAUCAGUGUCGUUCUGGAGCCCGCCCCCUUUCUGGACGCCCCAGCGCCUGCGCACUGGUCCCCGCCGCGCCACCGCGCCAUUUUGCCGGGGUUUGAAUGUGAGGCGGUGCCGCAGCUGGAGCGGCAUAGCUGGGUACUGUAUAAAGCCAAGCAUCCUCUUCUCCUUUCCCGUAUUACGAAGAGGUUAAGGUGGAGAGGGAAUCCCUCAGCGUGAGGAACUCGCCUUUCCCCGGUAAUGCCUGUUAGGUUUACUCUUCUCCAUCUGGGGCUCGGCCGCGGGUACCUCCUUUUUUUCCCCUCCAUUUACGAUGAGAUUGUUAUCUUUUAGCUGUUACCGGGAAUUCUCAUCAUUAAAUUUGGUGGGGACUUUGGGGUGAGGCAUGACUACCGUAUCGCCUCCAGGAGGCACAUAGAUAUUUCUCUUUUCCCUUGGCAUCUUUUUUUCCUCUAUGCUUUAAAUACAGGGGAUGGGGAGGAAGGGACAGAGCUUAUUUUUUCUUUUUCGGGGUGGUUGCUGUUGUCGGCUACCUUCCUAAUGACCAGGGCCCUUUCUUUUACACCGUUUUCACUCCUAAAUUUUUCCGUAUUGCCUUCUUUCUUUUUCUCCUUUUCCUUCUCCUUCCCCCACCCCCAAUCCAGGGGAAUAACACCUAUCUUCCUUCCAAGUUACUGCUCUGUCGGCAUCCUUUGGGGAUAGAAAGGUAUAUAGAUAAAUCGACUAAUGGGGAAUCUUUAUGUCAUGGGGAAAUCCCUUCUUUGCAAGUUAGAGCGGCCUCUUUGGAUAUAGGAGCACCUAAAAGUCUUUAAGGCUUUGGGAGUGGUAGACUGCUGAAAGUAGUGGUUACAUUAAGAUUAACCGUUGUCGUUAUCAUAAGUCUUUAUUUUGGGGGAUCCUUUUUCGUAUUUCAAGAGUCUGAAAUUGGAAUCAUCCAUUGAAGUGCAAAUUUACAGGAGAAAAGAAGUAGACAAUAGACCAUUCUUUUCAACAAUCUCAAUAUUAAAUUUCUUUUUUCCUUCUGCUUUAUGAUUUACUGGUUCUUAAAAAAAUUUUUAAUCUAAAUUUUUUUUUAAUUUGGGGAGUUAGAGGUUCCAAACAAUAAUCCAACAGGAAAAUGUUGGAAUUUCCUUGGAUGGGGGGGAGAAGAUUUAAUUUACUAGCACUAAUGUGUGUUGUUGGGAGUUUCAAUU